UGAAGCGUAUUUAAGAUUGUU
ensembl:piRNA 21ur-1380 ncRNA